AUUGAACGCUGGCGGCAGGCCUAACACAUGCAAGUCGAGCGAGAGGCGGACGGGUGAGUAAUGUAUGGGGACUGCCCGAUAGAGGGGGAUAACUACUGGAAACGGUAGCUAAUACCGCAUACUAUCGGAUAACCCAUAUGGGAUUAGCUAGUAGGUGAGGUAAUGGCUAACCUAGGCGACGAUCCCUAGCUGGUCUGAGAGGAUGAUCAGCCACACGGGUACGGUGACACGGCCCAGACUCCUACGGAGGCAGCAGUGGGGAAUCUUGCACAAUGGGCGCAAGGCUGAUUCAGCCAUGCCCCGUGAAUGAAGAAGGCUCUCGGGUUGUAAUGUACUUUCAGUCGGGAGGCGUUACCUACAGAAGAAGCACCGGCUAACUCCGUGCCAGCAGCCGCGGUAAUAC
rnacentral:rRNA from 1 species